ACAGACUCUCUUGAGAACUAAGAAGAAUGGGAGGGAGAAAAAAGAGGGCUAGGAUUUUUCUUAUUUUUCUUUCUUACUUUAGGCAUCCAAGUAUUGGACCCUUUUUAUAAGAAGGGCUAGGGAUUAGAGUUUGGAGGAGGGGCUGCCAUCAAAAGUUUCCAUAAAAUCUCUGAUUGAUUUUCUUCUUAUCUCCUUAUCUAGAUUUGAAUCAAAUUCAAAACAAGAAGGAACAAGGAUCAUGACUUA
rnacentral:lncRNA from 1 species